UGGGGAAUAUUGCACAAUGGGCGCAAGCCUGAUGCAGCCAUGCCGCGUGUAUGAAGAAGGCCUUCGGGUUGUAAAGUACUUUCAGUCGGGAGGAAGGUGGUAAGGUUAAUAACCUUAUCAAUUGACGUUACCGACAGAAGAAGCACCGGCUAACUCCGUGCCAGCAGCCGCGGUAAUACGGAGGGUGCAAGCGUUAAUCGGAAUUACUGGGCGUAAAGCGCACGCAGGCGGUUGAUUGAGUCAGAUGUGAAAUCCCCGGGCUUAACCCGGGAAUUGCAUCUGAUACUGGUCAGCUAGAGUCUUGUAGAGGGGGGUAGAAUUCCAUGUGUAGCGGUGAAAUGCGUAGAGAUGUGGAGGAAUACCGGUGGCGAAGGCGGCCCCCUGGACAAAGACUGACGCUCAGAUGCGAAAGCGUGGGGAGCAAACAGG
rnacentral:rRNA from 1 species